UACAGAGGGUGCAAGCGUUAAUCGGAAUUACUGGGCGUAAAGCGCACGCAGGCGGUUUUUUAAGUCAGAUGUGAAAGCCCCGGGCUCAACCUGGGAAUUGCAUUUGAAACUGGAAAACUAGAGUGUGUGAGAGGGGGGUAGAAUUCCAAGUGUAGCGGUGAAAUGCGUAGAGAUUUGGAGGAAUACCAGUGGCGAAGGCGGCCCCCUGGCACAACACUGACGCUCAGGUGCGAAAGCGUGGGGAGCAAACAGG
rnacentral:rRNA from 1 species